CACAAACAUUAAAAGCUUUGAAAGAUGAGAAAUGAAAAUAAGUGUUUGAGGAAGCACAGGAGGAUAAGGUGGAAGAGUAAGCUAAAGAACUCUUUUUUAAGGCAUUAAAAGCCAUUAGGUAUUCUGAAGGGCAGAAAUAAUAAUAAUAAUAAUAAAAAAAGAAAAAACCACAGAUGUAGCUGGAAGCAAGAACCAGCGUAGAGAUGAGUAGUCAUGCUGAAAUGAACUGUCAUAGCGGAUGACAAUAUGCUCACUCGGGAGGAAGGAAACAGGAGCUAGGAUUUCUUUCUCAAGAACACAGCUGAGGAAAGACAGAUGGGGGAAUUUCAGUCCAUCAACAGAUACAGGGCAUUUAUUCUGAAAACCACAGUAAUUGACUGGAAUAUGAAAACUGAAAUCUAUUUAAAUGGAUGUAUAGGAAAACAAGAAUCCUCAGAGGAAGAAAUCCAAAGAGAUCUUCUUUAGAAUUUUGAGCAUGAAAAGACACAUAGGAAAGCCUUUUCUCUUACUGGGACAGCUGCCAGUAAAACAUCUCAACUCCAUUCAAUAUUUGCUCAACCAGUUGUCUGCAGAUGGAGGCACAGGAGAAAUUAUAUCCUCUGAUUUUCCACAUGGCCCUGUCAGUAUGCCUUGAUGUAGGUUUGUACCCAUCAGACACUACAGAGGUACAGAAGUAACACUCUUGUCGACUAAAGUGGGCUUCUUCCCAUGGGCUGCACUGAUUUUGAUCCAUUGUCUUCCUGGGACCUGGCCAAAAUCUUCCUGAUGUGUUUUCAUGGACCGUUUUUUAUCACAUCACAACUCAUUUUCUGUUUCUGUUUUUGGUUUCCUGUGAAAUGCAAGUAGUUUGUGAAUUGAAUGGAUGUACUGCUUGGUUUCAUAUAGCCACGCUUGACUUACAUGCCUCCAGAUUUUGGUGCCAAAGUCCUUUGCUACCUCCUCUGUUAACUGAAAGAAGAUGUUUACAACUGCUUGAAAUCUAUCUUUUAUUUAAAGCUUGCAAAACUGUUGCCUCAAUCAGCAGAGUUCUGACUGUACCUUGUUAUGAAACAUUACUAUAAAGGAGUGGAACCUUAGAGAUGCCAGCUGCACCAAAAAACAACACAACGGUUCAGCUACAGAUUAAUGCAGUGAUCUUCACGAGCAGUUAAUUAAAAUUCAGUGUUGACAGGACCAAGCCUUGUUACUGUUUUUUAGGGAAACAAAGAAUAACAGAUAAAGCCAAAUUAUAAUAGGUCGAUGCAGCAAAUCCAAGAAAAAUAUGGCAGUUCUCGGCAGCUGUGAUAGGAAUCCUUCCUCUUCUUGAAUAAUAAAGGCUUUUGCUAAUUUUAACCAGAGCCGAAUCUGAAAAACCUGCAGUCGUGUGUGACUCAGAGAGCCCCAAGGGAAUGGGAGGUGGGGGGAGAUAUGUGUGUGUGUAUGUCUGUGUGUAUAAUCUAACAGUGCCCAGAGCUUUUGCGAUCCUGGACCACUUCAAUCGCACAGUCCAGAUUCAUUAAAAACCCUGGCUACAUUCCAGCAGUUAAAAUUGAAGCAGCAUAUUUAUUGCAUUUUGCUCAAAUAAAUCUGAAAAUGUGUGAAUCAUAUCCCUUGGAGAGAUGGUAAGAAGAAGUAAACAAUCUCGGGCUCACACUUGGAAGCCGGCUAUGACGAAGAA